rnacentral:rRNA from 1 species
GACGAACGCUGGCGGCGUGCUUAACACAUGCAAGUCGAGCGGUAAGGCCCUUUCGGGGGUACACGAGCGGCGAACGGGUGAGUAACACGUGGGUGACCUGCCCUUAGCUCUGGGAUAAGCCUGGGAAACUGGGUCUAAUACCGGAUAUGACUCCAUGACGCAUGUUGUGGGGUGGAAAGCCUUGUGCGGCUAGGGAUGGGCCCGCGGCCUAUCAGCUUGUUGGUGGGGUGAUGGCCACCAAGGCGACGACGGGUAGCCGGCCUGAGAGGGCGACCGGCCACACUGGGACUGAGACACGGCCCAGACUCCUACGGGAGGGCAGCAGUGGGGAAUCUUGCGCAAUGGGCGAAAGCCUGACGCAGCGACGCCGCGUGGGGAUGACGGCCUCGU